rnacentral:rRNA from 1 species
UAGUUGGUGGAUUGAUUUGUCUGGUUGAUUCCGACAACGAACGAGACCUUCGCCUGUUCAAUAGAAGCACUUCCGAAAGAUUGUGCAUUCUUCUUAACGGGACUUUGCGCGUCUAGCGCAAUGAAGCGAAGGCAAUAACAGG